GACUCAGGUCAGAAGACAUUUAAAAGAAGAGGAUCUAUCAUAAACUGGGGCUGUUGCUGGGGUUCUAGCACUUGCCUGGACAAUGUGUCUGCACCAUCAACAUCACCUAUGCCUGGACAGCUCUUUGGAGUUUCUCUGCCAAAUAUGUGUGAGAAUGACAAUCUGCUCAAACCUGUCCUGAAAAUGAGAAAUUAAAUUCUGGAGGUGAAGUAAACCUAGAUUGUGAAUCUAUUUUUGAGAUAGCCUCUAUUUUCUGCAAAGUAUUCCAGGAAGUGUUUUUUGUCAGAUCUCUGUGAUCACUGGGUCUGGGUAAUGGAUGAGGGAAAUGAUGAAAAGAAAAUAAAUUCUACCAGCUUCUGAGUGCCAAUGUUGUUAGCCUAAGGUAUCUCUUUGGUAUAUUACACAAUAUUGAGCAACAAUCCUCAAUCAAUCACAUGAAUGCAUAUAAUUUAGUGGUAUGUGUCACUUCAAGCAUUAUUUGGUCUCCUACCUCCUCCAUCCAAGAACUAAAAGAUGAAUUUAAAAGAAAGUAUUGCUGAUUAUACAAUUUCCGAUUGAAAAUUGUUGUAUAAUAUUUGGAGAAAAAAUCACUUUUCUCUUGGGAGAGGUUUCAGUGAGAUGUGACACUGGGGAGAAUGCCUCA
rnacentral:lncRNA from 1 species